AGGACGAACGCUGGCGGCGUGCUUAACACAUGCAAGUCGAGCGGAAAGGCCCUUCGGGGUACUCGAGCGGCGAACGGGUGAGUAACACGUGAGCAACCUGCCCCUGGCUCUGGGAUAGCCUUCGGAAACGGGGAUUAAUACCGGAUAUUCACUGCUUCCUGCAUGGGGGGUGGUGGAAAGUUUUUCGGCUGGGGUGGGGCUCGCGGCCUAUCAGCUUGUUGGGGGGGUGACGGCCCACCAAGGCGACGACGGGUAGCCGGCCUGAGAGGGCGACCGGCCACACUGGGACUGAGACACGGCCCAGACUCCUACGGGGAGGCAGCAGUGGGGGAAUAUUGCGCAAUGGGGCGGAAGCCUGACGCAGCGACGCCGCGUGCGGGAUGAAGGCCUUCGGGUUGUAAACCGCUUUCACCAGGGACGGAAGCGAGAGUGACGGUACCUGGGGAGAAGCGCCGGCUAACUACGUGCCAGCAGCCGC
rnacentral:rRNA from 1 species